rnacentral:rRNA from 1 species
ACGGAGGGUGCGAGCGUUGUUCGGAAUCAUUGGGCGUAAAGGGCGUGUAGGUGGUCUGUUAAGUCAUGUGUGAAAGCCCCCAGCUCAACUGGGGAAGUGCGCAUGAAACUGACAGGCUAGAGUACCGAAGAGGAAGGUGGAAUUCCCGGUGUAGCGGUGAAAUGCGUAGAUAUCGGGAGGAACCCCGGUGGCGAAGGCGGGUUGCUGGGCUGACACUGACGCUGAUGCGCGAAAGCUAGGGGAGCGGACGGGA